CUCUGACAAGAGAUUAUCCCAGCGAAGGCUAAGAGGCCACGGAAAACAAGGAGCAAGUUCUGUUUAGAGCUUCUGGUCCCCGUCUGCACCAUUGUCAUCAGAAACCAGGGAGCAUUUGUCUGGUCCUCCCUUGGAUUGCAACAUAUUUCUGUUUUCUUACCAUAUAGACUCAUCCCAGUUUGUUUCUAAGCGAAUUGCUUUUUUGUUCAUGUUGCAUAUUCCCUAAACAGUCGUAUUAGUGGUGACAGCAUGUCAUCUUGAUGGUGUUAUGACAGUAUGACGCCAAACUAGUAUUAACAUAACAUUUCUUUUUAAAUCUUGUCUGAAAACAUAUUGUUCUCCCUUGCCAGCACUUCUC
rnacentral:lncRNA from 1 species